UACAGAGGUCUCAAGCGUUGUUCGGAAUCACUGGGCGUAAAGGGUGCGUAGGCCGCACGGUAAGUCAGAGGUGAAAUCCCGGAGCUCAACUUCGGAAUUGCCUCCGAUACUGCCGUGCUUGAGGACUCUAGAGGAGAUUGGAAUUCACAGUGGAGCAGUGAAAUGCGUAGAUAUUGUGAGGAACACUAGUGGCGAAGGCGAAUCUCUGGACAGUUCCUGACGCUGAGGCACGAAGGCCAGGGGAGCAAACGUG
rnacentral:rRNA from 1 species